rnacentral:miRNA from 1 species
CUUCCUUCAGAAUACUCUUAGACACUUGCCUCUGCCAGUUGAAAGAGUGCAGACUUUCCACAGCGUUUCACAGGUUCAGCACCAUCCAGCUGUGAAGUGUUUGGAAGAAAUCUA